GCCCGGAUGGCGGAAUUGGUAGACGCGUUGGUCUCAAACACCAAUGGGGUAACACCCGUGCCGGUUCGAUCCCGGCUCCGGGCACUU
rnacentral:tRNA from 1 species